rnacentral:rRNA from 1 species
UGAGCAAUCUGCCCUUCUCAUCGGAAUAAGCGUUGGAAACGACGUCUAAUGCCGAAUACGACCUCCUUUCGCAUGAUCGGAGGUGGAAAGCUCCGGCGGAGAAGGAUGAGCUCGCGGCCUAUCAGCUAGUUGGUGUGGGUAAUGGCCCACCAAGGCGACGACGGGUAGCCGGCCUGAGAGG